rnacentral:tRNA from 1 species
GCCUGGCUGGCUCAGUGAGCAGAGCGUGCGACUCUUGAUCUCCAGGUGGUGAGUUCAAGUCCCACGUUGGGUG